CAAGUGAAUAUGCACAUACAAUAUGGUUUUGACUUCACGUUGACACAGAAUCCUUUCACCUUACUAUCAAACUUUGGAUCAUACGCCCCAGGUGGAGGUACAUCAUCUGCAAGAUGAAUGAUUUUUUAAAAUCGAAAAAAAUAUAUUUCUAAAAAUUUUUAAUUGAACAAUCUUCUAAAAAAUAUAUAUGAAUGUAACGAAAUAAAAUCUUAAAACCGUACUAGAUUUAAAAAAUAUUAUUUAUGGAUAGUUUAUUUACAUGAUUUUGGAUUAUUAAUUAUUAUACGAAAUAUAUUAUCAAAAUCUGUAAUUAAUUAAUUAAGAAACUUUAAUUAUUGAAAUAAUUAUUUAUAUGAACAUUU